rnacentral:rRNA from 1 species
GGGCAAGUCUGGUGCCAGCAGCCGCGGUAAUUCCAGCUCCAAUAGCGUAUAUUAAAGUUGUUGCAGUUAAAAAGCUCGUAGUUGAAUUUCGGGGUCAGCAGGUUGGUCGUGCCACUGGUAUGAACUGGCCUUGCUGAUUCCUCCUUCUUGAAGAACCGUGAUGCCGUUAAUUUGGUGUUGCGGGGAAACAGGACUGUUACUUUGAAAAAAUUAGAGUGUUUAAAGCAGGCUCACGCUUGAAUACAUUAGCAUGGAAUAAUAAAAUAGGACGUUUAUCCUAUUUUGUUGGUUCCUAGGGUUGACGUAAUGAUUAAUAGGGAUAGUUGGGGGCAUUAGUAUUCAAUUGUCAGAGGUGAAAUUCUUGGAUUUAUUGAAGACUAACUACUGCGAAAGCAUUUGCCAAAGAUGUUUUCAUUAAUCAAGAACGAAAGUUAGGGGAUCGAAGACGAUCAGGUACCGUCGUAGUCUUAACCAUAAACUAUGCCGACUAGGGAUCGGAUGAUGUUAAUUUUUUAAUGACUCA